rnacentral:rRNA from 1 species
GACGAACCAUCCAAACGUUAUUCGGAAUUACUGGGCUUAAAGGGUGCGUAGGCUGCGCAGAAAGUUGGGUGUGAAAUCCCUCGGCUUAACCGAGGAACUGCGCCCAAAACUACUGUGCUUGAGGGAGACAGAGGUGAGUGGAACUUAGGGUGGAGCGGUGAAAUGCGUUGAUAUCCUAAGGAACACCCGUGGCGAAAGCGGCUCACUGGGUCUCUUCUGACGCUGAUGCACGAAAGCUAGGGGAGCGAACGGG